rnacentral:rRNA from 1 species
UAGCGAAGGGGGCUAGCGUUGCUCGGAAUCACUGGGCGUAAAGCGCACGUAGGCGGAUUGCUAAGUCAGGGGUGAAAUCCUGGAGCUCAACUCCCAGAACUGCCUUUGAUACUGGCGAUCUUGAGUUCGGGAGAGGUGAGUGGAACUGCGAGUGUAGAGGUGAAAUUCGUAGAUAUUCGCAAGAACACCAGUGGCGAAGGCGGCUCACUGGCCCGAUACUGACGCUGAGGUGCGAAAGCGUGGGGAGCAAACAGG